GUGGGGAAUCUUGCGCAAUGGGCGAAAGCCUGACGCAGCCAUGCCGCGUGAAUGAUGAAGGUCUUAGGAUUGUAAAAUUCUUUCACCGGGGACGAUAAUGACGGUACCCGGAGAAGAAGCUCCGGCUAACUUCGUGCCAGCAGCCGCGGUAAUACGAAGGGGGCUAGCGUUGCUCGGAAUUACUGGGCGUAAAGGGCGCGUAGGCGGACAGCUUAGUCAGAGGUGAAAGCCCAGGGCUCAACCUUGGAAUUGCCUUUGAUACUGGCGAUCUUGAGACCGGAAGAGGUGAGUGGAACUCCGAGUGUAGAGGUGGAAUUCGUAGAUAUUAGGAAGAGCACCAGUGGCGAAGGCGGCUCACUGGUCCGGUACUGACGCUGAGGUGCGAAAGCGUGGGGAGCAAACAGGAUUAGAAACCCCGGUAGUCC
rnacentral:rRNA from 1 species